rnacentral:rRNA from 1 species
UGGGGAAUAUUGGACAAUGGGCGCAAGCCUGAUCCAGCCAUGCCGCGUGUGUGAAGAAGGCCUUUUGGUUGUAAAGCACUUUAAGCGAGGAGGAUGCUACUUGGAUUAAUACUCUAAGAUAGUGGACGUUACUCGCAGAAUAAGCACCGGCUAACUCUGUGCCAGCAGCCGCGGUAAUACAGAGGGUGCGAGCGUUAAUCGGAUUUACUGGGCGUAAAGCGUGCGUAGGCGGCUUCUUAAGUCGGAUGUGAAAUCCCUGAGCUUAACUUAGGAAUUGCAUUCGAUACUGGGAAGCUAGAGUAUGGGAGAGGAUGGUAGAAUUCCAGGUGUAGCGGUGAAAUGCGUAGAGAUCUGGAGGAAUACCGAUGGCGAAGGCAGCCAUCUGGCCUAAUACUGACGCUGAGGUACGAAAGCAUGGGGAGCAAACAGG